rnacentral:rRNA from 1 species
UACGUAGGGUGCAAGCGUUAAUCGGAAUUACUGGGCGUAAAGCGUGCGCAGGCGGUUAUGCAAGACAGAUGUGAAAUCCCCGGGCUCAACCUGGGAACUGCAUUUGUGACUGCAUGGCUAGAGUACGGUAGAGGGGGAUGGAAUUCCGCGUGUAGCAGUGAAAUGCGUAGAUAUGCGGAGGAACACCGAUGGCGAAGGCAAUCCCCUGGACCUGCACUGACGCUCAUGCACGAAAGCGUGGGGAGCAAACAGG